GGAGGGUGCUAGCGUUGUUCGGAAUUACUGGGCGUAAAGCGCGUGCAGGCGGCCCGUUAAGUCAUGUGUGAAAGCCCUCGGCUCAACCGGGGAAUGGCACAUGAAACUGGCGGACUAGAGUACGGAAGAGGGGGGUGGAAUUCCUGGUGUAGCGGUGAAAUGCGUAGAUAUCAGGAGGAACACCUGCGGCGAAGGCGGCCCCCUGGUCCGAUACUGACGCUAAUACGCGAAAGCGUGGGGAGCAAACAGGAUUAGAUACCCGGGUAGUCCACGCUGUAAACGAUGGGCACUAGGUGUCCCGGGUAUUGACCCCCCCCUGGGUGCCGCAGCUAACGCAUUAAGUGCCCCGCCUGGGGAGUACGGUGCAAGAUUA
rnacentral:rRNA from 1 species